AUUGUUAUCAAUAUUAGUUACUCGUACACAAGGAGAGGAUCAGAAAGAUACAGUACAGAAGAGAAGUGUACCAGUUACUUGUGCACAAAGAGAAGGUCAGAAAGAAAGUACAGUACAAAAGAGAAGUGCACCACUUAUUCGUACGCAAGGAGAGGGUCAGAAAUAUAGUACAGUACAAAAGAGAAGUGCACUAGUUCUUCGGAGAGAGUCAGAAAGAUUUUACAGUACGAAAGAGAAGUGCACCUUAGAGGGUCAGAGAGAUAGUACGGUACUGUACACAAGAGAGUGAACCAGGAUUGGGUCAGAAAGAUAUUACAGGGAAAAAGAGAAGUGCACCAGAUAGUGUCAGAAAGAUUGUACAGUAGUGCACCAGAUAAAGAGAGGGUCAGAAAGAUGGUAAAGUACAAAAGAGGAGUGCACCAGCUAAUUAAGUUGUUGUUGUUAUUGUUAUUGUUAUUGUUAAUAUUAUUAUUAGUUACUCGUACACAAUGAGAGAGUCAGAAAGAUUUUACAGUAUGAAAGAGAAGUGCAGCAGUUACUAGUAAACAAAGAGAGGGUCUGAAAGAUAGCACAAUACAAGAGGAGUGCACCAGUUACUCGUAAACAAAGAGAGUCGGAAAGAUUGUACAGUAUGAAAGAGAAAUGUAUCAGAAAGAGAGGGUCAGAAAGAUAGUACAGUACAAAAUGCACAGGUUACUCAUACACAAAGAGAGAGUCAGAAAGAUUGUACAGUACAAAAAAGAAGUGAACCAGUUAUUCGUACAGAAAGAGAGAGUCAGAAAGAUUGUACAGCAUGAAAGAGAAGUGCACCUAUUACUCGUAUUCAAAGGGAGGGUCAGAAAGAUACAUUAGUACACUACAAAAGAGAAUUGACGUCAGAUUAGACUAUAUUCAU